rnacentral:rRNA from 1 species
GUUCCAGACUCCUACGGGAGGCAGCAGCGGGGGAUAUUGCACAAUGGGGGGAACCCUGAUGCAGCGACGCCGCGUGGGUGAAGGAGCGUUUCGGCGCGUAAAGCCCUGUCAGCAGGGAGGAAAAUGACGGUACCUGAAGAAGAAGCCCCGGCUAACUACGUGCCAGCAGCCGCGGUAAUACGUAGGGGGCAAGCGUUAUCCGGAUUUACUGGGUGUAAAGGGGGCGCAGACGGCGAUGCAAGCCAGGAGUGAAAGCCCGGGGCCCAACCCCGGGACUGCUCUUGGAACUGCGUGGCUGGAGUGCAGGAGGGGCAGGCGGAAUUCCUGGUGUAGCGGUGAAAUGCGUAGAUAUCAGGAGGAACACCGGUGGCGAAGGCGGCCUGCUGGACUGCAACUGACGUUGAGGCCCGAAAGCGUGGGGAGCAAACAGGAUUAGAUACCCCUGUA